rnacentral:rRNA from 1 species
AGUGAACGCUGGCGGUAGGCCUAAUACAUGCAAGUCGAACGGCCGCACAGUAAGAGCUUGCCCUUACGGGUGGCGAGUGGCGGACGGGUGAGGAAUACAUCGGAAUCUACUUUUUCGUGGGGGAUAACGUAGGGAAACUUAUGCUAAUACCGCAUACGACCUACGGGUGAAAGCAGGGGAUCUUCGGACCUUGCGCGAUUGAAUGAGCCGAUGUCGGAUUAGCUAGUUGGCGGGGUAAAGGCCCACCAAGGCGACGAUCCGUAGCUGGUCUGAGAGGAUGAUCAGCCACACUGGAACUGAGACACGGUCCAGACUCCUACGGGAGGCAGCAGUGGGGAAUAUUGGACAAUGGGCGCAAGCCUGAUCCAGCCAUACCGCGUGAGUGAAGAAGGCCUUCGGAUUGUAAAGCCCUUUUGUUGGGAAAGAAAAGCAGCAGGUUAAUACCCCGCUGUUCUGACGGUACCCGAAGAAUAAGCACCGGCUAACUUCGUG